UGUUCCUACGGGGCGCAGCAGUGGGGAAUAUUGCACAAUGGGGGAAACCCUGAUGCAGCGACGCCGCGUGAAGGAAGAAGUACUUCGGUAUGUAAACUUCUAUCAGCAGGGAAGAAAAUGACGGUACCUGACUAAGAAGCCCCGGCUAACUACGUGCCAGCAGCCGCGGUAAUACGUAGGGGGCAAGCAUUAUCCGGAUUUACUGGGUGUAAAGGGAGCGUAGGCGGUUUAUCAAGUCAGCAGUGAAAGCCUGGGGCUCAACUCAGGGACUGC
rnacentral:rRNA from 1 species